rnacentral:tRNA from 2 species
UAUGUGUUAGUAUAUGAUGUAUAUAGAAUUUUGAUUUCUAAGGAUUAAGUUUAACUCUUUUGCGCAUAA